rnacentral:rRNA from 1 species
GGUGUACUAAGUGGAAAAGGAUGUGGGAUCGCGAAGACAGCCAGGAGGUUGGCUUAGAAGCAGCCAUCCUUGAAAGAGUGCGUAAUAGCUCACUGGUCGAGUGGUUCUGCGCCGACAAUGUAGUGGGGCUCAAGUACACCGCCGAAGCCGCGGCAACUUUUUUAAGUUGGGUAGGGGAGCGUCGUGCAUGGGUUGAAGCGUUACCGUAAGGAGGCGUGGACUGUGUGCGAGUGAGAAUGCAGGCAUGAGUAGCGUGUGACGGGUGGGAAUCCCGUCCGCCGAUUAUCCAAGGGUUCCAGGGUCAAGUUUGUCUGCCCUGGGUGAGUCGGGUCCUAAGGCGAGGCCGACAGGCGUAGUCGAUGGGUAACCAGUUGAUAUUCUGGUACCGGCUUGUCACCGUCCGUGUCGAGGUGUGUGAUGCUAAGCAUGUGAGCUUGUCUUGGGAGUGUUUUUGAUGCUUCUGGGGUGGGUGAGUGUGUGAACCGAUCAUGUAGUAGGCAAGCUGCGGAGGGACGCAGUGAGGUAGCUCAUCCCCGGUGAUGGUUGUCCGGGGCUAAGUGUGUGGACUGUCUGGUAGGUAAAUCCGCUGGGCGUGAAGGUUGAGGCAUGAUGGGGAGCCCAUGGUUGUGGGUGAGUGAGUGAUCCUGUACUGUCGAGAAAAGCUUCGUGAGCGAGGUGGCGGGUCCGCCCGUACCCUAAACCGACACUGGUGGAUAGGUAGAGUAUACCGAGGCGAUCGAGUGAAUCGUGGUGAAGGAACUCGGCAAAAUGCCCCCGUAACUUUGGGAUAAGGGGGACCUGAGCUGUCGUGCACCCGUGCGGUGUGGUGGCGGUGAGGGGCGCAGAGUCCAGGGGGAAACGACUGUUUACCAAAAACACAGGUCCGUGCGAAGUCGUAAGACGAUGUAUACGGACUGACUCCUGCCCGGUGCUGGAAGGUUAAGGGGAACUGUGAGUGUAUGCGUAGCGGUGAACUUAAGCCCCAGUAAACGGCGGUGGUAACUAUAACCAUCCUAAGGUAGCGAAAUUCCUUGUCGGGUAAGUUCCGACCUGCACGAAUGGCGUAACGACUUCUCUGCUGUCUCAACCACAGGCCCGGUGAAAUUGCACUACGAGUAAAGAUGCUCGUUACGCGCAGCAGGACGGAAAGACCCCGGGACCUUUACUAUAGUUUGGUAUUGGUGAUUGGGACGGUUUGUGUAGGAUAGGUGGGAGACGUUGAUGCGGCCACGCUAGUGGUGGUGGAGUCGUUGGUGAAAUACCACUCUGAUUGUUCUGGUUAUCUCACUGUGGACCGUGAUCCGGUUCAAGGACAGUGCCUGAUGGGUAGUUUGACUGGGGCGGUCGCCUCCUAAAGGGUAACGGAGGCGCCCAAAGGUUCCCUCAGCCUGGUUGGUAAUCAGGUGGUGAGUGUAAGUGCACAAGGGGGCUUGACUGUGAGACUGACAGGUCGAGCAGGGACGAAAGUCGGGACUAGUGAUCUGACGGUGGCUUGUGGAUGCGCCGUCACUCAACGGAUAAAAGGUACCCCGGGGAUAACAGGCUGAUCUUGCCCGAGCGCUCAUAGCGACGGCAUGGUUUGGCACCUCGAUGUCGGCUCGUCGCAUCCUGGGGCUGGAGUCGGUCCCAAGGGUUGGGCUGUUCGCCCAUUAAAGCGGCACGCGAGCUGGGUUCAGAACGUCGUGAGACAGUUCGGUCCCUAUCCGCUGCGCGCGGAGGAAUCUUGAGAAGGGCUGUCUUUAGUACGAGAGGACCGAGACGGACUGACCUCUGGUGUGCCAGUUGUUCUGCCAAGAGCAUGGCUGGUUGGCUACGUCGGGUUGUGAUAACCGCUGAAAGCAUCUAAGCGGGAAGCACGCUUCAAGAUAAGGGUUCCCACAGGAGUGU